rnacentral:rRNA from 1 species
GACGAACGCUGGCGGCGUGCUUAACACAUGCAAGUCGAACGAUGAAGCUGGAGCUUGCUCCGGUGGAUUAGUGGCGAACGGGUGUGUAACACGUGAGUAAUCUGCCCUUGACUCUGGGUUAACUGCGGGAAACUGUAGCUAAUACCGGAUACGACACCUUCGGGCAUCCGAUGGGUGUGGAAAGAAUUUCGGUCAAGGAUGAACUCGCGGCCUAUCAGCUAGUCGGUGAGGUAAUGGCUCACCAAGGCGACGACGGGUAGCCGGCCUGAGAGGGUGACCGGCCACACUGGGACUGAGACACGGCCCAGACUCCUACGGGAGGCAGCAGUGGGGAAUAUUGCACAAUGGGCGAAAGCCUGAUGCAGCAACGCCGCGUGAGGGAUGAAGGCCUUCGGGUUGUAAACCUCUUUUAGUUGGGAAGAAGCGAAAGUGACGGUACCAACAGAAAAAGCACCGGCUAACUACGUGCCAGCCGCCGCCGUAA